rnacentral:rRNA from 1 species
CAGUAGCGUAUAUUAAAGUUGUUGCGGUAAAAAAGCUCGUAGUUGGAUUUCUGUUGAGGACGACUGGUCCAAACCACGUUUGCGCAUCUAGUCUGGCCUCAGCAUCCUCUCGAAAGACGUUUCUGUGCUUGAUUGCAUGGUGCGGAGUUCGGGACUUUUACUUUGAGGAAAUUAGAGUGUUCACGGCAGGCUAUCGCCCGAAUACAUUAGCAUGGAAUAAUACUAUAGGAUCUCGAUUCUAUUUUGUUGGUUUCUAGAAGCGAGAUAAUGAUUAAUAGGGACAACUGGGGGCAUUCGUAUUAACACGUCAGAGGUGGAAUUCUUGGAUUGUGUUACGACGAACUACUGCGAAAGCAUUUGCCAAGGAUGUUUUCAUUGAUCAAGAACGAAAGUAAGGGGAUCGAAGAUGAUUAGAUACCAU